GUGUAAUGCAGUAGACGCCUGCUUGUUUGACAUGAGGGACCUGAGAGGGCCAAGGUCCUGCUGGAUCCGUGAGUGCAAGAACAGAAACUGCUGGAGGGAGAGCAGAGAUUUUUAAAAGGUGGUGAAUAAAAGCCGUGGAAGCAAAAUGAUGGUUAAGAAAAGUGGAAAUUUACACUUGCUGUAAGGAAUUUGCAUUCCCAGUAUUCUGCCUUGCACUUGCAGCCCUUGCCUAACAAGUUUACUUGCUUCCCCUGGCUCAGAAGUUUCUGAAACUGGUGAAAACUGUGGGAAGAGCCACACAGAGGAUAAACACUCAAUUAUUUCAACAUCAUAGAUGAAGAAAAAGCUGUUCCAAAAGUUUUUGAGGAGGAGCAGUACCUUCAUUCCUGUUUGCAUGGCAACAACAGCUGCAUUCAGAUGAAAAGGCCAGCUUGUUAAACAUCAUGUAAUACUGAAUGUACUGAAUAUUUUAAAGGUCAGGUAUUGACAGGCACUGAGCUGCUUAUGUUUCCCUAAUGACCCCAAUUACAUCCAAGCUGAUUCUUCCUUGACUCUCAGUUGGAACUGGAUGUAUGGGAGUACUGUGGAGUACUGAUGAAGAAGUGGUAAGAUUCCAUGGAAACAAAUAGGAGGCAUUACUUUUGGAGCAGCCUAUUUCUGCAGUGAACUUGGGAAUUUUACUCAGAGCUACUCAGUAUCCCUGCUGUGAACAUUUUUCAAGAGACUGAGAUCUCCUCCACGGUGAGAGCACAGUGCUCAUCUGUCUUUCACUGCCCCCUCCCAUGCUUCCACAGGGAGGUGAGAUCAGUGAGAACAAACAUUUGAAGAACUGCCCUGAAUUUUUCUUGCUUGUUUCCAGCCUGAAGGUAAAUUAUUCUGGAAACUUCUUCUGGAAAGAAGAAAGAUUCUGCUUGGUGGAUUGUGAAUUAGCCAUUCACGUAAUAAAAUGUUUUUCAUAUU
rnacentral:lncRNA from 7 species